rnacentral:rRNA from 1 species
ACGGGAGGCAGCAGUGGGGAAUAUUGGACAAUGGGGGAAACCCUGAUCCAGCGACGCCGCGUGAGUGAAGAAGUAUUUCGGUAUGUAAAGCUCUAUCAGCAAGAAAGAAAAUGACGGUACUUGACUAAGAAGCCCCGGCUAACUACGUGCCAGCAGCCGCGGUAAUACGUAGGGGGCAAGCGUUAUCCGGAUUUACUGGGUGUAAAGGGAGCGUAGACGGCGAUGCAAGUCUGAAGUGAAAGCCCGGGGCUCAACCCCGGAACUGCUUUGGAAACUGUAUAGCUAGAGUGCAGGAGAGGUAUGUGGAAUUCCUAGUGUAGCGGUGAAAUGCGUAGAUAUUAGGAGGAACACCAGUGGCGAAGGCGACAUACUGAACUGUAACUGACGUUGAGGCUCGAAGGCGUGGGGAGCAAACAGGAUUAGAUACCCUGGUA